rnacentral:rRNA from 1 species
GACGAACGCUGGCGGCGUGCUUAACACAUGCAAGUCGAACGGUGAAGCGCCUGACUUUUUGGUGGGUGUGGAUGAGUGGCGAACGGGUGAGUAACCCGUGAGUAACCUGCCCCCUUCUUCUGGAUAACCGCAUGAAAGAGUGGCUAAUACGGGAUAUUCUGGGUCUGUCGCAUGAUGGUUCUGGGACAGCUCUUGUUUCGGUGGGGGGUGGGCUCGCGGCCUAUCAGGUUGUUGGGGGGGUGAUGGCCUACAACGGCGGUGACGGGUAGCCGGGCUGGGAGGAUGGACGAUAACAGUGCGACUAAGAGACGGACACGACUCCUAGAGGCGGCAGCAGUGGGGAUUAUUGCACAGGGGGAACAAGGCUGAUGCAGCGACGCGUCGGGGGAGAAGGAGGUCGGCGGGUUGUGGACCUUUUUCGGGAGAGAAGCCUGCCUGGCUCGUUUGUUGGUGGGUUGACGGUAGCUGAAUAAGAAGCGCCGGCUAACUACGUG